rnacentral:rRNA from 1 species
GGGGUAGCCCGGACCGAUGUGUAGAGAGGGAGUAGGGAGGAAGAGGAUGAGGCCGGCGGCGGUGCCGAUCCGGCCGCACCACCGCGCAGUAGUCGAGGAGGGGUGCGGAGGUGGUCGAGGUGGCGCGGUAGAGGUGGUGGGUGGUGUGCGGUGCUUUAGGUAGGUGGUAACGGUGAUAGAGGUCGGUGGCUGCGUGGAGCGCGCGGACUGGUCUGUUCUCCCAGUGCCCGUAGACCAGGAGGUGCACUCACAGGGCACGACGACUAGAAGAAGAGGAGUGGUGCGACGACGAGAAGGGAGAGGUAGAGACGACGACAAGAAGAAGGGGAACGACGAGGACGGAGGAGAGGCAACGUAGAGGGAAUCGUGACGACGACGAAGAGAGAAGACGCAGGGGACGACGAGGAUUGAAAGAGUUAGAGACGACGAAGAAGAGACCCUGGGGAACGACGACGAAGAGAGACUUGGCUUGACAAAGACGAGGGAGAGCGUGCUUGGACGACGACGAGAAGAGAGGGACUACGGGAACGAAGUAGAGACUUGGUUAGAGACAACGACAAGAAGUAGUGGUUGGGCUCGGUUGACAACAAGAGAGAGAGAGAGAGAGAGAGAGAGAAACACACACACACACACACAUUAAGUAGUUUUAAUAACAACACACUACUACUAUGAACAAGUCAGGCUUCUGUACACAACAAGAAUAAAACAUCUGGUAACUCUCAAACAUGACAAUGUAACACUGGGAGUAAAGUUUACAUACUCUCGAUCGAUAUAUACAGUUUAUAUAAGACAUGAACGACUACUAACCACAGGUCAAAUAACAAGAACACUAUAUUUAUGUACACACACACACAAACUACACUUUAUUAAUAUAUAUAUACACCGGACAAACAGUCGAUCACUAAACAUAUUUAAGUCUAGUGAUGAACACUAAAAUAAAACAUAACUUAAAUGAGAGACACCAUCAGUCAACACACUAGUAAAUUAAAAGUCAGAGACAUAAUCGAGACAUGGACAUUAUAAACAAAACUGUACUUCGUAAAAGUAGGGACAGGUAAUAGAACAAAGAAGAGAGACAGUAUGUGAACAAUCUAUAUACACAAGAUCAUAACAACAAAGGGAAACCGGUAUAAACAUACGAACACAGUCGCAGAUGAAACUUUCAUGUUAGACUUGGAGGGAAACAAAUACACAGAAAAGGAAAUAACUAUGAGAACAAUCACAAUCAAAUAAAAGAUAAAAGUAGUGGGUUAUAGUACAAUGGAUCGAAAUCGACUCGUAUCAACAGCAGCGGAUCAGGGAUUCCUCUUCUGCUAUGAGCUUCAAACCCCGCAUUUUUGGGACGAUAUAAUGAUAGCUAGUAAAACCACAGCAACGGCCCCUGAUCGCAGCUCACUGGCACAAUCCGAUAUCUGAUCCAAAUAAAAUCAAGGCACAAAUUAAGCAGCACAUAAAGUAAAAGACGCAAAGAAAAUAUAUAUAAAAAAGGAACAACAACGAAACCGAAUAAUCCUAUGAUUGGAAGACUGAUCACAAAUGACAAAUACUUACACACAUCCCUUAGUAUUUAGAAACGUCCAACAAGAUAUCAAUGUGAACCAAUUCUAUACCGUAACGAAGCACUAGAAACCUACGGUUCAUCAGUUACAAUAUAGUGUCCUGGCCAAACCGGUUGAUAACUCCAUCUCUUAAAACUCGACUUCGGACCAGAAUAACGAAACCAAGUUGUUGUUGUCAAACCUCCUGACGGAUGACUCCUAGGGAUACUCGUGAAUGUGGCUCAGUACCUCAUAAGUCUAUGUCAGUUCAUGGUACCUCAAGGAGUUCUACGUUAGGACACGUCCGACAAGUGUAAGAGGGAGGCGCUACUACGAGCACGAACCAUAGCUAGGAACGGUAGUUCCAGUAUGUCAACCUUACUCUAUAGCGCUCGAAAGAACCUAUUUAUAAAGGGUGAUGUGUUCGUCAGGUGUUAAGCUCUACUCUAGAAGUUAAAGCAAGUCGCACUUCCGCUCUCGAACAUACUACGAACCCUCUCUAUGUUUCGGAAUAAGUCCUCUACAGGAUUAGUACCCGAGCUCUCUACCAAUCUCAACGUCUAUAAGAUAUCUCCUAACUGAAGUUUGUGAGCUCGAAUACAGCUAUACCGUCGCCCACCUCGAUAAUGUUUGUUCUGUGAACUACUUCGAAAAGACGACUAACUCUCGUAUCGAAGGGUGGUUGAAGUCACCAUGUUAUUCUUCGGGUGUAGACUAAGUAACCAAACGAACGUUGUUUAGUGAUGUGGAGUUGGUGGUUAAGAAUGUCUUUUCGGGCUCGGAGAUAGAGUCACACUGUUCCAACUCGAACGUACCUAAUAUAAACUGCUACUACUGUGGUAAGAUCAACUGUGUGUGCGAUGUCUAGUAGACCUAUGAUCACAACCUCUAAGUCAAAACGUAACACUACUAAGAAGGUACCUACUCGGUCACGACGUCAAGCAACGAAAACUAUAACUCCUCAGUGGAAAUCAACUAUAACUAGUACACGACGAUCUCGGUCUAUACCUCUUCAAGCGGAAACUACUACAAUCGGCGUAACUAAGAAGUUGUGAACUCGGACUCUACCUCUCGAAGUACCAACUAAUACCCACUGGUUCAAGCUCUACUGUAGGGUACCCUAGGACCACCUAAGUGCCGUACCACUUCUCCUCUUCGUUCCCCCGUGUGUGCUUCUUCUCACUUCGACCUCGUAGGUACUCCUUCGUUUCCUCUUCUCCUCGUUGAAUCUCUACUAGCUCGUUCACGAUGUGGUAGUUUCGGGCCACUCGACAAAGUACUGGGGUUAGACUUAUAUAGUAGGCAACUAUUACCAUUUUAGUAAGCUAUAAACUCAACGAACUCGGUAAAGAAUUUACUACAGGGUGACCUAAAAUAAACUGUAUAACACGAACUACACUUGUACUCUUGACAACAACUUACGGAACAUUUGAUCACUAGAUGUAUGACGAACGAAACGACUUUAAUCACUUUAAAUAAUCAAAACUCACGAGUUAGGGAUCAUGUGAUCUUUUGAAUUAGUAAAAGACGAAAAUGGAACUAUGUGGAUCUAGUAAUUCACAGUCUACGACUCAAACACGGAUUACAUAAGGGUAACUCUCGUUAGUGGAUUGAUGAUACCUAAUCAUACGAUACAAGGGACCUAGCCAUCGUACACUUGGUCUGUACCUCUUCACUACUAAGGAUAAAAACACGAAUACGCAACAAGUAAAUUCUAUUCAUUAUUACUUAUUUAUUCAGACCAGAUGGAUGUCAUCGUACAGUACAAGGGACCUAGCCACCGUACACUUUAGACCAUCGAACCUGUCAUUAAUUAUUUUUUUACAUUAACAGCUUGGUCCACAUAUGGUACAAGAACCCUAGCCACCAUACAAGGAAACCCCUCUGUUUUUUUUGAUUAUUAACCAGCUAGGUCCACAUAUGGUACAAGAGCCCUAGCCAUCAUACAAGGAAACCACUCUGACUAUUUUAUAAUAGUAAUGAAGGAAGUUGAAAUUAUUCACCAAGUUGGUGUUACAAUAUAAAAACGUUUAUUCACUAAAUUAAGUUCGAGGAAAACAAGAGUCCUAGUACACUAGAAAUCCUUGGAAAACCGUGUCAGUCGUAAACUUGAACGAUUAGAAGCAAAUAGUAACGUUUUCAAAUUUUACCAGCUCAAAUGAUCACAGGAUAACUAUACAUCGUGAGAAUUGGUAAUUAAAAGUGAUCGGUUCAGGUUUCGUACGUGACAAAUCUCUAGAUGAAGUGAACUGUAAGAGAUCAGUCAAGUGACAAGUACAAGAACGAAAACAGUAUGCGGAAACGAACUCCUGUUCGUUUUCAAAUUCACACCCCCUUGAACUAUUCUUGUAAAGUAUAUAUGUUAAAACCGUAUCUUUAUAUAAUAAAUAACUCUAUACUGGUAAUUAAGAACGACACUUUAUAACUUAUAAACGUACUUUUAGUAUAUUUCAUAGUAAAUGAUCAGAAACCAGAUAAAACGUCUUUACACGCGUUUCCGUGAUAUUUAGAAGUUCUAGGCCUGAUUCACCGAUUCUCUUGCUUCUUCUCCUCCUUCUUACCUGAACACGUUCUUCUUUGCUUCAUCGGUCCCCCCGUUGAUAUCUUCGCUCCUAGAUGAACCCUUCUUUCUUCUUUCCACCUCCCGGUUUCAUUUUUUUCUGUCUAGUCUAGUGCCCCCUAGUUUUAUUGAUCGUGCGGAGGUAAGGGGUAGCCCGGACCGAUGUGUAGAGAGGGAGCGGGGAGGAAGAGGAUGAGGCUGGCGGCGGUGCCGAUCCGGCCGCACCACCGCGCAGUAGUCGAGGAGGGGUGCGGAGGUGGUCGAGGUGGCGCGGUAGAAGUGGUGGGUGGUGUGCGUUGGUUUAGGUAGGUGGUAGCGGUGGUAGAGGUCGGUGGCGGCGUGGAGUGCGCGGACUGGUCUGUUCUCCCAGUGCCCGCAGACCAGGAGACGCACUUACGGAGCACGACGACUAGAAGAAGAGGAGUGGUGCGACGAAGAGAAGGGAGAGGUAGAGACGACGACAAGAAGAAGGGGAACGACGACGACGGAGGAGAGGCAACGUAGAGGGAAUCGCGACGACGACGAAGAGAGAAUACGCAGGGGACGACGAGGAUUGAAAGAGUUAGAGACGACGAAGAAGAGACCCUGGGGAACGACGACGAAGAGAGACUUGGCUUGACAACGACGAGGGAGAGCGUGCUUGGACGACGACGUGAAGAGAGGGACUACGGGAACGAAGUAGAGACUUGGGUAGAGACGACGACAAGAAGUAGUGGUUGGGCUCGGUUGACAACAAGAGAGAGAGAGAGAGAGAGAGAGAGAGAGAGAGAGAGAAACACACACACACACACACACAUUAAGUAGUUUUAAUAACAACACACUACUACUAUGAACAAGUCAGGCUUCUGUACACAACAAGAAUAAAACAUCUGGUAACUCUCAAACAUGACAAUGUAACACUGGGAGUAAAGUUUACAUACUCUCGAUCGAUAUAUACAGUUUAUAUAAGACAUGAACGACUACUAACCACAGGUCAAAUAACAAGAACACUAUAUUUAUGUACACACACACACAAACUACACUUUAUUAAUAUAUAUAUACACCGGACAAACAGUCGAUCACUAAACAUAUUUAAGUCUAGUGAUGAACACUAAAAUAAAACAUAACUUAAAUGAGAGACACCAUCAGUCAACACACUAGUAAAUUAAAAGU